rnacentral:rRNA from 1 species
UGGAGAUGUAAAUAGUCUGGCCUGCUCACUGAUAAAAUUAUUUAAGAGCCGCGGUAUAUUGACCGUGCAAAGGUAGCAUAAUCAUUAGGGGUUUAAUUGGAACCUAGUAUGAAUGGUCGGACAAAGGAAAAACUGUCUUUACAAGUUAAAUUGAAGUUUACCUUUAAGUGAAAAGGCUUAAAUAAAUCAAAGGGACGAUAAGACCCUAUAAAUCUUUAUAAAUAAUUUAAAUUUGAUUGAUUUAAAAUUAUAAAAGUUGAAUGUAAUUAUUUUAUUUUGUUGGGGUGAUGAGAGUAUAAUUAUUGUUAACUGCUUAAAAAAAAAUCUUAUAUAAAAGAAUAUAAAUAUGAAUGAUCCUUUUUAGAGAUUAAAAGACAAAGUUACUUUAGGGAUAACAGCGUUAUUUCUUUUGAGAGUUCAUAUCGAAAAAGAAGAUUGCGACCUCGAUGUUGAAUUAAAAUGUCUAUAUAAUGCAGCCGUUAUAAAAGAGGGUCUGUUCGACCUUUAAAUU